GACGAACGCUGGCGGCGUGCUUAACACAUGCAAGUCGAACGAAGUGGCGAACGGGUGAGUAAUACGUGAGUAACCUGCCCUCCUUUUUGGGAUAAGCCUUGGAAAAGGGGUCUAAUACCGAAUAAAGGGGGUUGGGCUCGAGGGCUAUCAGCUUGGUGGUGGGGUGAUGGACUACCAAGGCGGUGACGGGUAGCCGGCCUGGGAGGGUGACCAGGCAAAUGGGAACUGGGAGACAGUCCAGACGCCUACAGCAGGGAGCAGUGUGGGAUAUUGCGCGAUGGGCGGAAGCCUGCUGGAGGGGCGCCGCGAGGGGGAUGAAGGCUUUCGGGUUGUAAACCUCUUUCGCGAUCGAACGGGUACGUGGAGAAGAAGCGCCGGCUAACUACGUGCCAGCAGCCGCGGUAAUUC
rnacentral:rRNA from 1 species